UUUAUUUCACUUAGAUUGAAUCUCAGCCGUUGAUUCACAAUAAGUUAUUAGUUAGGGAUCAAAUCUUGACCAUUGAAAUCGAUCUACAAUCUUGAAUCUCCUUCAAUAUUUUCGCUGACGUUUUUGUUUUCUCAUAUCUCCACCUUCCACCUUCUCGCGUUGCCCGUUUUCAUUCUUUCACCUCAUUUAAUCGCGUCUCCCGUUUUUUCCUUUAUGGCUUCCGUUUUCCACCUCGAGAGCUCGAUCGGUUGUCAAAGAAGACAUCUUUGUGGUGCCUCAUCUAUGGUCUCAAACGCCUUCGCAGUCGUUUCGCACUCAGCAGCGUGAAGGAGAUGGGUCCAAGGGGAUCUGCGGCUCUUCCGACAGCGGAGUGACCAGGAUUGGAUCCUCUUUUUCUUCUUGGCAGAUUUGCUGCUUCUCUAAUCUGUGACUCCAAAAAACAGUAUUUUGAGCGGUGCAAAAUGAAUGUGGAAUAGAUCAACUUCACCAACAUCUAGAAAUUUGGAAGAACAACAGGUUAGUAGAUUGGUUAACACGAUUCUCUUUAUUUUUGGUGAUUUUUAUGUAUGGCUAUAUUAAUAGAUUGGGUCCAUCCAUUCCCCCAUUGGAGCUGAUGGUUUUGCCGAAGGAUUUCUCGGAGCCUUAUGGCGUUCUUACAAGAGCGAGGAGUGUCGUUUUGAUGGGAAAGCGUUGUGGCAUAAAGUAUGACUGCACAGAUGACGUUGCCUUUGACCAGAUUGAGGCUCAGAUCAAUGCACGCAGGUCUACUAGGGGGAGCUAAGGUAGUUUUCUUGGGUGUUGGUGGUUUCUUUGGGUAUCGUGUGGGCUUGUGGGUUGUUUUGGGUCUUAGGAGGUUGUCUUGGUGUCGUCGAGUCCUUGGUUGGUGUUUGUCUAGUUUGGUUGCUCCCCUUUUUGGGCUGGGUUGUCGCCGGCUUUGACGGUUUUUGGGUCUUCUGAGGAGGGUUGUCUAUCUUGAACAUUUUCCUCAUCAGUAUAGAUGUUUUUGCUUUCAAAAAAAUUGUGACUUCUUUCAGUGGGAGGUUUUGUCAAUUUUUUUGGGAGUGUGACAAUGAUGAGGUUAGAAAGAUAUGUGGAUCAUUUGAGAUUAGGGCUGAAAUAUUGGUUUGGAUUGUCAAGCUAAGAAGACAGAUUUCAAGAAUCGAGGGUCAUCGGAAAAAGAAGAUAGACUUGAAUGCACUCCAAAACCUCGUAUGGAACUUCUUUUAUUCAGCAAAUGGUGAAUUUGAGUAUUGAGACAGAUUUGCGUGAUGUUCGUCAUACCAUUGAAUGUGUUAGAAAUAUUAAUAUAAAACCAUUCAUGUGGCCCUUACCCAACAGCUUAAGCUUUUAGGAUAAUUGAUUGUUUGACAUGGUAUCAGAGCCUCUAUGACCAAGCGGUCUAGAGCUCAAUCCUUGCCACUCCCAACUGUUCUAAUAAAAAAAUUUGAAUUUCAGCACAUGGUAGGUGGGUUCGUGCAUUGUCCACGCU